rnacentral:rRNA from 1 species
GACGAACGCUGGCGGCGUGCUUAACACAUGCAAGUCGAACGGAAAGGCCCUGCUUUUGUGGGGUGCUCGAGUGGCGAACGGGUGAGUAACACGUGAGUAACCUGCCCUUGACUUUGGGAUAACUUCAGGAAACUGGGGCUAAUACCGGAUAGGAGCUCCUGCUGCAUGGUGGGGGUUGGAAAGUUUCGGCGGUUGGGGAUGGACUCGCGGCUUAUCAGCUUGUUGGUGGGGUAGUGGCUUACCAAGGCUUUGACGGGUAGCCGGCCUGAGAGGGUGACCGGCCACAUUGGGACUGAGAUACGGCCCAGACUCCUACGGGAGGCAGCAGUGGAGAAUAUUGCACAAUGGGCGGAAGCCUGAUGCAGCAACGCCGCGUGCGGGAUGACGGGCUUCGGGUUGUAAUCCGCUUUCGCCUGUGACGAGGCGUGAGUGACGGUAAUGGGUAAAGAAGCACCGGCUAACUACGUG